rnacentral:rRNA from 1 species
GAUGAACGCUGGCGGCGUGCUUAAUACAUGCAAGUCGAACGAAGACAGUAGCAAUAUUGUCUGAGUGGCGAACGGGUGAGUAACGCGUUGGUGACCUGCCUCGAAGAGAGGGAUAACAGUCCGAAAGGAUUGCUAAUACCCCAUGUGGUCGUUUGGAUUAGAUGCCUUAUGACUAAACGGAUUUAUUCGCUUCGAGAGGGGCCUGCGUCCCAUCAGCUAGUUGGUAGGGUAAUGGCCUACCAAGGCGAUGACGGGUAGGGGACCUGAGAGGGUGGCCCCCCACAAUGGAACUGAAACACGGUCCAUACACCUACGGGUGGCAGCAGUAGGGAAUAUUGGUUAAUCUGGGAAACCGGGAACCAGCAACGCCGCGUGCACGAUGAAGGCCUUCGGGUUGUAAAGUGCUUUUUGAAAGGAUGAGGAAGGACAGUACUUUCAGAAUAAGCUUCGGCUAACUACGUGCCAGCAGCCGCCGUAACAC